CACACGCCAAUCACUUUGGGGGCCUUGUGCCUGGCGUUCUCCUCCAUUAGUGGCGCCGUCACAAGCCCCAGGCAGGUAGGUCCUGAUGUUAUCUGUAGCUUGUAGAUGGUGGAAUCGAGACCCAGAGAGGAGAAGGAGCUUGGCCAAGUUCAAAGGGCUAAUAUGUGAACGGGGAUGGGAACUCAGGCCGCCCUAGGCAUCUUCUCAGCUUCAUCGGCCUCCCUGUUGCGGAGCCAUCCGUGGCAUGGCUCUCCAAUGCCCUUCCUUAGGCCCACUCCCCCAGGAAGUCCCCAGACUACGCACCCUCCCAGGGGACAAGCAGCCACGGUCCUCCACAGGAAGGGUGUGCGGACAACCGUGGGUGACACUGAUAUGCACGAGUCUCCGUGCUGGGUGCCAGGCAGGCUCCAGACCUCCGUUCAUUCACGGCCAGGCAGGGAGGUGCCCUGAGAUGUGAGGCAAGGGAGCCCAGGCAGGGGCAAGGGACGGCUUUCUGGAAAAAGACACUGAAGCCGAGUUCAGGAUGCCGGGUAAGAAAUACACCUGCUGACAGAGGUGGGCGCUCACUCUUGCUCUGGGGACAGCGGAAGCAGGGCAUGUGCCCUCGAGGCGGGGGAGUCGGCUCUGCUCCAGGACGAGCGAGGUGCCCGGGACGGACGAGUGGCUGGAAGGGGGCAGGGCUGGGCUUCAGACUUGUCUCCUCGCCGUGGGUGGCGAUGGGCAGUGGAGGCGGGGCUCCCGGGGCCCGGUUCUUCCAGGGGCGCCCUGGCUGAGGCAGGUGCCUCCUGGGGGUCGGGUCAGGUCCUCACCCAGGAAGACAGAGUGAAGACAGCUCCUGGGGUCCUGCCUGGAGCACGGCUGGGUGGGCCCUGUUCGAGCUUCUCUCUUGCCCGCAGCACGGCUCCUCCCGCUUCCUCCGGGACCCCCCAUCCUUCCAGCCCUGGCUCGGGGCGCCCACGGUCCAGCAGAUGAGGUCUCUGUGGCCACCGCCUGGCUGGACGGGGUGGGUGACAUCUUCGCAUCUUCUGCAGAGGAGGAAAUGUCACCUGUGUCCAGUCCUGCACGGGGCACAUCCUUCGUAGGUGCCACCUGGGGACACAGCCUCACAGCACAUCUAUGGACACCAACCAGUGCGGGGAGCACACACCUCACCAGGCUCCCAGCAGCUAAGGACCCACGUGGAAGCCCGGCCUCUCCCGGCCCUGAAAGCAGACGGAAAGAGACCCGGGUCUUUCGGGAGAACCCCCGGGGGCCCGGCAGAGUCCAGGAGGGGCUUCCAGAACCAGAGGCCGCUGGCUGAGCGCCUGGCCCAGCACCUCUAGCGGCCCCGCCCGAGAGCCCCGAGUCCUGGGCCGUGUUGCACAAGUGUGGCCCGAGCCUGGGAACCCAAGGGGGCCUCGCGGCCGGGCCGGCGGGCGGAGGAUGUUUGCACAGUGAGUCAGCGCAGAUGUGGGGCUCUCAUUACACACUCGUCCACGAAGGCAGGAGACCAGGCCUCGCGACGGCCAACGCCUCUGCUCCCUCCCGCCAGAGGGAGGCCCCGGGAGGGGGCAGGGAGGGCCCGCUGCAGACAAAGGCCGAACUGCACCGCCCGUGGCCGUGGCCCAGGGCCAGUCUGAAUUAGUGAGCAUCUGAAAUGAAGAAAGUUGUGUUCUGUUCUAAGAACCCAAGUCUGUUUGAACAGUCGGCCGCAGAUUAGGGCCCGAGGAUUACCGCCAGCCUGGCGUCUUGCGCGCCUGCCUUGAGGAGCAGAUAUAAAUAACUCGCUUUCAGAACGGGGACUGUGCGGCAGGCGAAGGUCACAAUUAAAGGGACCCAAAAGUCAGCCUCCCGGUGCCGGGCACCCUGUGAUCUCGGGGUCAUCGGGCGGCUUUGUGGUCAAGACAAGCGCAGGGCGUGAGCGGAGGCUGGGGCUCCGAGCGGCUCGAGCCCGGUGGAUCGGGCACAUCACUCGGGAGCUUCAGAAACGCGUCGCCAACAGCCCUCCCGCUCCGGCUGCACCGUUUUACGAAGAGGGGAAAAAAAAAAAAGAAAAAAAAAAAAACCACUCAAAUUCUCCUGUGGCUAAUUCAUUCCAGAAGGCACCAGACUGAAUAUCGCUACUGUAAAUAGAUUUCUUCAUUAUCCUGGGGCAUUUUUUGGCCAAAAGACUAAGGAAAAAACCAGGCAAGAGUCAGUAAGUGUCUGGGCUCCCGGCAGGCCCAGCAGGGGUGUGGGAGGGAGGCCCAGGGAGGCCGGGGCCGCGGCGUUCCCACCGUGGACGUGCACCUGGUCCAGUCAGGUGCGCCUGCUCGCCGGGCUCGGCCGGGGAGCACGAGGAGGGGUGCGUUCCAACGCCCCGGAGGGCCACGCUGGGUGGCGGCUCACGAUCCACGCAGGAUUUAUUUUAUGGCGGCGACCAACGAUGACACGGAGAAAUCCAUGACACCGUAAAAGAGUGUGCUACUUAGAGUUUUCGAGAGGAGAGGUCACACCGCCCAGGGCACGUGGCAAAGCACCAGACUCCGUCUCGGGCAGGAAGGACCGGGACAGCGCGGCCCAGAGCCUGCGCGGUGGUUUCUCCGGGAAGGAACGGGCAAGGCCCAGGGUGCGAGUCACAGCGAACGCUCAGCACUGGCGUGUCGGAGUGAUUCCAGCGGGCUCUGGGCCACAGGGGUGUCCCUAGCCAUCUGGUCCCUGGCCCGGGUGACUUCGGGCAGGGGGAGCGCCGGCCUGUGUGUGAGAGCUGGCGAGGGAGGUGGACGCGGCUGUGGGCUCUAGACUGACUGCUUCGUAAAUGAAAGGCGUGUUUGCGAGGGAGACGUCUGCUGCCUCCGGGAAUUAGCUCCCCCCACAACCCAGGGAGGGACAGUCUCUCCCCAGCCGGCAAGGCCCCCAGAGAUGUGGAGGUGUCAUAAAAUAGGGAAAAUAAAACACGCAACGAACACAGGCAGGUGGACGCGUCUCGGGUCAGAGUGCUCAGCGCGGUGGGUCCCGCCCUGCCUCGAGCCCUGGGGCCCCGGGGAGCCUCCCCCGACCCCGACAUUCCCCGGGGCCUGGUCUUGGGUGCUCAUCUGCCUUCACUGCCGGGCCCCGGGUGAUCUCGGGGGGCAUGCACGGGCUGGGGUCCCCAUCCCCACCCGCCCCCUGAGUCCGCACCUGCCUGACCUCUCUCUGACCCCGUCUGUGCCCCAGACCUCUUCAUCCGUGUCAUUUCUCCUGCAGUGUCUGUCUCUGGCAACGGGCGCCCUGUCCUCCCCAGGGCCCAGGCCAGAGCUGGGGCCCCACCCCGUCUCUGCCGCCCUCCUGCCCGUGCGGGGCCCCCGUCGGCCCUCUUAGGUCCACCGAUCGCUUGUUGGUGAGGGUGGCGGCAGAGGGCAGCGAGGGGGGCAGCCUGCUGCUCCUCGACACGACCGACCCUGAACCCCGACUCGCCCGGAGGUUGACCGCAGUCGGGAGCAGACCCUGAGCGAGGCUCCUUGAGGACCCGGGCAGCCAGCGGUAAUCCACGUCGAACCCGGUGCCGGGCAGCACCCGUCCUGGCCGUCCGGCUCUCCUCGUGCAGGGUUGGGGCUUUGCCCCCCACACCCCACGCUUUACGAACAUUCUCGAACGUGAUUUCCAAUGAGGUGGGGGGGGGAGUCCACAGAAUAAGACGCUACCACUGGC